rnacentral:ncRNA from 2 species
GGCACACGCUAGGGGUCCUGCAAGUCGCAACGCGAUGCGCGGGUGAGAAACACCCUCUGAACCUGAUCUGGAUAAUGCCAGCGAAGGGAAGCCAGUGAGUUCAAUG